CUACGGAGGGUGCAAGCGUUAAUCGGAAUUACUGGGCGUAAAGCGCGCGUAGGCGGCUGAUUAAGUCGGAUGUGAAAUCCCUGGGCUCAACCUAGGAACUGCAUCCGAUACUGGUCAGCUAGAGCUUUGGAGAGGUAAGUGGAAUUUCCGGUGUAGCGGUGAAAUGCAUAGAGAUCGGAAGGAACACCAGUGGCGAAGGCGACUUACUGGCCAAAAACUGACGCUGAGGUGCGAAAGCGUGGGUAGCGAACAGGAUUAGAAACCCCAGUAGUCC
rnacentral:rRNA from 1 species